ACAUUUAAAGGCAUAAAGUAUUUACUCACUCCCUGGCCACAGCCACCGUUACCUUCUGAAUCCCAACUUCGGAUAUAAUUAUUGAUAUAUUUAUAACGAGUUUAUGAAGAAUGUGAAAAAGAUCUGACCACCCUAGCUAUGGACUGAAGUUGGAGCCUCUUUUCUAAUAUAAUGCAAUUGACCAAGACUGCUUGGGAGCAGCUGUCAGUAUUGUUUAAAGCUGUCAUUCAAUAUGGCCAAACUCUUUGUUACCUAAAACCCCUUGUCUGAUCUGUUGCCUCUGUUUCACUUUUCCAAUUAGAUGAAUGACAGAAACAAAAAAUCGUAAUAAAUAUUGUCAAAUCUGAUUUUA
rnacentral:antisense_RNA from 1 species